AUGACAACAUCCCAGCAUAUAACAUUAUAUACCCGACACAUUGCAUGCUUCCAAGUUGCCGUUCCAAAACGCCAACCUCCUGUUUUUCAAAAUAGCAUAUAUCUUUUUUCACAAAGAAAAUAUCUGUAUCUAUAUAUCUUUUUGUUUGAUCUUAAACAAUAUGGGGCACAAAACCUAAAGAAGAAUAGUAGAUUACUAAGGAAAAAAAGAGACACAGAAGUCUCACAAUCUCAAGUGCUUAAAGCAUUAGCAGUCAAUGUGACAUCUAUAUUCCUAAGUUUCCUAAAUAAAACUUGAGACUGCUCAUGACAUUUUCUUAUGCCUCACAUGGGGUUUAACUUUAAAAAUAGAACAAAAUCCACACAGUGAGAACAUUAAAAAGCAGGUAGGUGCCAAAUGAAAAGUGCAUGGGGCAAGAAUGGAAAAGCUAAAUACAGAUGAACCACUGAAACAAGAACAAUAAAAAACUCAGGGGAAACAGGCACAGUCAGUAUCUGAGUCAAGGAACAGAACUGAUUUAGUCAAAACAGGCAUGAAAUAAACACCAUUUCUGUAUUUAAAGAAGAGUAAUCUAAGACAUGUAGGGCACGACAAGUCAAAGGCACAACACUAGACAAACAACUGGGACGGAGAGAGACUUAAACAGCGCCACCUAGAUUUGAAUCCAGGAUUCUUCUUUGAAAUUAGAUCUUAAACCAAUUUGAACAAUGGAAAUGUACAAUAGGAUCCCAUGAGAGAGCUGAGAUCCUGUUAUAGGGGCUUCAAUGACUAAUAAUUGGGGCUAAACAAAUAAACUCUCUCUAGGAGGGGGAAAACAUUAACACAACGGAAGAAAUGGAAAGCCAACAACCACAAAGUAGCUCACAGACUCAAGUACUUUUCCUCCUUGAUAUGAUAAACCAAAGGACAUGAGUUUAAAGAGGUAAAAUGAGUCCACGUACAUGAUGCCAUCUUAGACUGACCCCUAGAUUCAACAAUAUUUCAUCGAUGGAUAAGAACCAAAUAACCAAAAUACAGCCUGGAUACCAUUAAAAUACUGACAAUUUGUGAUGUAGAGAAACCACAAUGUAAAUAUUGAAAAACUAAAUACAGGAGAUAAAACAGGAGAUCAAGUUUAUCUGCUGCUAAACAGGAGUGGGCAACCAGUUUCAAAGACGGAGCUUCAAUGUUAAAAUGAAGCAAAUAUAAAAUGAUUUACCUGAAAUGAUAUUAGAUUAUGAAAUUAAAAUGAAAUGGCAAAAGCGUUCCAUAAUAAACAGAGCCCUUUACAUUCAAAAACAUUCCACUGACGUGAUCAGACUUUAAACAAAAACGAGUUAAACAGUUAAAUAGCCAAAAUGUUAUGAGAAGAGUUAGAUCUGGUGUCAAAAAAAUGCAACAAAGAGCCACUAAUGCAGUUUUGCCCUGACUCAAAACUUGUGGGCACUUUGUUCAACAACAAAGGUCUCCUGAACCACCUGGACUAUGUAGGCCUGAUACAUCUAUACAAAAAGUCUCCUGUUUUUUUUUUUCUUCCAGUCAUCAACAAAGUGUUUAAAGGAAAAACACAACCAAACAAUUUCAUCUCGGCAACCAGGCUUUUAAAAAAAAGUCAUUAGGGGUCGAUUCAGAACCUUCCCCAAUCAAAUAGAGAAACUCAUCUUGAUAAACACAAAAAACGCCACUAUGGUACAGAUAUCAACAAUUACAUGACUUCCGUUCGGCCUCUUCAUAAUACAUAUGUUUUGAAUAUACAUAAUCCUCACAUGCCCUAAAACCACAUAUUUUGUCAUUUUUUUAAUUUCCUGUUUUGAAAUAUCCACAGCGACAAGGCAAAAAAAUAAAAUAAAAAUCCAAGAUGACAAAAGUCAACCGGAGCAAAUUGAUAAUGUCAGACAUCUUCACAGCGAUGGACAAGGGAUUUGUGGCAUCUGACCGGACAAUUGGCAGUAUGAGUUCUCCCUUCUCCUCUGGUCCUUUCCAGAUGGGUAAAUGGGUAGUUAACAAAAGAAGCAUGCCCCAUAGAAGACAAAAUACUGCAUGUUCAAAAGCCGCUGUCUUCGUUUCAUCAGUUGCGCCAUCUGCUGUGCUCUCUGUCUGACCAGGCAAUGGGAAAUGAAUGCUGAAAUGAUGCUAAUGAUUUACAGUGUAAGUUCAUGUGGCUGUUAUGAGAAGCUGUAUUGACUGUCUAUCUUGCACGCCAUUUGGAAGUCCUGAGGAGAUUAUGGUCAUGUGAACACAGCCGAACCAACAGGAGCAACUGAACACCCCUUAAAACAGCAGCUGUAAAGAUUAUGAUGAUACUGACCGGGAUAUGCAGAGGAUGAUGAUGAUGAUGAUGAUGAAGUCUGCAUAAAUAAGCAUUACGAUGAAUGAUGACUCCUUCUCUGUAAUCCUCUCUCUGAGCAGUCUUGCAUCAAAUGUAAUGGUCUGAGGUUUAACCUUGGACACAUUUUUGAUAAGUCAGUAAUAGGGCUGAUAGUUAGUGGUGGUGCUGAUCGGUUAAUGUUGCAGCACUGCAGGGAGGAGGGGGACUGAAAACCCCACAGUGGAAAGGCACAAGGGAGGAGGGGAGGGUGAGGUGGAGGUGAACUUGGAGUCAGCUGUAUGGUGGAGGAGGAUCUGGAGAAAGGAGGUGAGGGAUGAGAGAUCUGUGUGGGCUCAGGCACUCAUAUCAUAUCAGCGAAAGGGAGGAGACACUCUGGGAGGGAGCAGUUUCAGGAUCCAACAUAUCAUACUAUCACGACAUAACCCAAAUGGAGAGCUAGAUUGAAGUGGUAACAGCUACUUUAAAAGCAAGAGAAAUUUGGCCGAUGGCAUGGCAUUUCCUCUCGCCUUUAACCCAGAGCAGCUCAGUCUCAUCCACCUUGUCACACACUGAAGGACGGGUUCCUGAAUGCUAGCGUAGUUAAGCAAAAUAACCCAUAUACUUUAUUAAAAAGUGUGUUUUAUUAUAUUUUCACACUGAGGAGAAAUGAGGGACUUAUAUGCAACUAUUACAGAAGGUCCAAACGCUCACUGAUGCUCCAGAAGGAAAAAUAAAGCAUUAAGAGCUGUGGGUUGAAAACUUUAUGAAUUUGAAAAUCAGGGGAAAGUUUACUUAUUUUGUCUUCUGGGAAACAUGUACCUAUCUUCUGUAGCCUUUGAAGGGCAGUACUACAUUAAAAGAAAUAUGAUAUUUAGGCAAAAUAAGGAAAAUAUACACAUCUCCAUUCUUCUCAAAUGUUUUUUUACUCCCUGGUUCUUAAUGCAUCAUUUUUCUUUCUAAAGCAUCAGUGAGAUUAUAUAUUAAUAUGGCUAUUAAAAUAAUAAUAAUAAUUAUUACUAUUAUAUUUUUAUUAUUAUUAUUAUUAUUACUAACGAUUUGGGGAAAGUCCAAUUGUGUUUUCGAAUAAAAGUUUAUAAAAUGCCUUUAAAAAAAAAAAAAAAAACUUAGUUUGCUGUAUUUGUUUAUAGGGAUGCAUAUUUUGGCCAAAAUUUUGAGACUAUAUAUCAAUAUGGCUAUAAAACAAUGAUAAUUAUAAUUAGUAAUAGUAGUAAGUGGGUUAGAUAGUGAGAUUGGGAUUUCUGGCAUUCCUCCGUCUUGGUUUAGGCCGUAUCUUUCUGGACGCACUCAGCGUAUUCAAUUAAAAGUUUUCAGAUCAAGAACAUCUACAGUCACCACUGGAGUUCCCCAGGGUUCUGUUUUGGGCCUGCAUCUUUUCAUUAUUUAUAUACUCCCUCUUGGUUACAUUUUGAGGAAACAUGGUAUUCAUUUUUAUUGUUAUGCAGAUGACACCCAACUUUACCUGUCUGCCAAACUCACUGGUUCUUUUCCUCCACCAUCUUUGUCCAGCUGUUUAGCUGGAAUUAAAGAUUGGCUUUCAGCUAACUUCCUGAAGUUAAAUUGCAACAAAACUGAGGCCCUACUUGUUGACACUAGAUCUGUUUAGUCUAAAUCUAAUUGUUUUUCCUUGUUCAUUGACAAUAAUGCAAUCUGUCCUUCCUCUCAGG
rnacentral:lncRNA from 1 species